UCCGGUGUACAGGUUCGGUGUGAGUCCAGUCAGCUAGAGCUCUCAAAGGUUACACGCACAGCAUGCAAGCUUGGAGCAACAGUUUUCCGCCAGAGAGAAAAGACCACACUAAAGAUGUCAUUCAUGAUGUUUACAUCCUCUGCUGUGAAUGAGCGCCUGAUUGUCAAUGCAUCAGUCACAAGGUCAGAAAGACAGAUUCUAAUGGGUGAAACUCUGAAGAUUAAAUGCAGUGUUUCUGCACUAUAGGAAUUUAAUUUAAAAAGAAAAUAGAUAAAACUUUCUAUGAAGCCUGUAUUUAUAAUACAUUAUACAGUUUUACUGCAUUAUACUAUUUAUUAUUUGUGUUUAUACCUUUUAAGAUUAUGAUGAUUUAUAAUACACAAUGAACACAAUGCAUCCACUUAAAUUACAAAGUACUUUUUCCAUAGUUAUAAUGUAUUAUAAGUCUCACAUCUUGCCAUUGUUAGCUUAUUACUUUACUCAAAGCAGACAGACAAAAAAAUUGAAAAAUAUAUAAUAAACAAAUAUUUUUAUAAUGAAUAUAUAAUUUACAAAUAUUUUCCUACAAAAAACAACAACUAAUGAUAAUAAUAAUAAUAAUAAUAAUAAUAAUAAUAAUAAUAAUUUUUAUUUCUUAAACAGCCAUAAGAUCCGAUAUCUGAUCAGAUGAAUGUGUAAUAUGGCACAUAUGAUUUACAUUUACAUUUACAUUUAUUUAUUUAGCAGAUGCUUUUAUCCAAAGCGACUUAUAAAUGAGGACAGUGGAAGCAAUCAAAAACAACAAAAAGAGCAAUGAUAUAUAAGUGCUAUAACAAGUCUCAGUUAGGUUAACACAGUACAUGUAGCAUGGGCUUUUAAAUAAUAUAAUAAAUAAAAAGAAAACAGAAUAAAAAAAGAAUAGAGCAAGGUAGUGUUAGAGGUCUUUACACACAUACACACAUAUAUAUAUGAUUACAGUACAGAUCAAAAGUUUGGAAACAUUACUAUUUUUAAUGUUUUUGAAAGAAGCUUCUUCUGCUCAUCAAGCCUGCAUUUAUUUGAUCAAAAAUACAGGAAAAAAUUUAAUAUUGUGAUGUAUAAUUACAAUUGAAAAUAAUUGUUUUUAAAUUUAUUAUACUUUAAAUUACCAUUUAUUUCUGUGAUGCAAAGCUGAAUUUUUAGGAUCAUUAUCACUUUAAAAAUAAAAGAAAAACAAAAGCUAUUUUUUUUUAAAUAUAAAUAUUUUGUAAUAACAACGUACACUACUGGUCACUAAUUUGGGGUCAGUAAUUUUUUUUCUUUCUUUUUUUUUAAAUAAAAUCAAUACUUUUAUUCAGCAAGGUGUCAGGGUUUGGCAAGGGAGGAACUCAAGUGCAGACAGGAAUCAGGUUACACAGAGGGUUUAUUUACACAAAAGGGAAAACAAAACCCACGAGGGGGAAAACAAUAGCUAGGGCAGAAACUAAACAACUUAACAGGACGGGAUCGACAUGAUAAACAAACUCUUAAACACUAACUACAAACAAACACUCAUGGUUAUACAAAGACUUCAAGGAUUCAGGAACAUAUAGAGACACUCAUGAUCUGGUAAACAAUCACAUGUAGGAACACAAAUGUGGAACAAUGAACCGACGAAAGACAGAGCACACUAGGAGAUCUAAAUAGGGGAACUAAUUAAGACACGACAGGUGGCACAGAUAGGACAAUCACGACAAGACUAGGAUAACAAGGGGGGCGGGGCAAGGGAACGAGACAACACAAGCACAUGGCCCAAAGACAAGGCACGGGUCUGUCAUGAUCCUGCCUCAAGACUAGGGAAAAAUCAAGGACACGAGGGCAGAAUCAUGACACAAGGAUGUGUUAAAUUGCUAAAAAGUUAUAGUAAAGUGAUAUUAUUAGAAUGUAUAUUAUUAUAAUUUUUCUAGAUUUUUAGAAUGAUUUCUAAAUGAUCAAUUUAGUGACAAUGAAGGCUGGAGUAAUGAUGCUGAAAAUUCAGCUUUGCAUCACAGGAAUAAACUAUUUUUAAAAUUAUAUUCAAAUAGAAAACUAUUAUUUUAAGUUGUAAUAAUAUUUCACAAUAAAUGAAAAGAAAAUAGAAUACAAAAAGAUUAGAAAGGUAGUAAGAUUUUUUUAAAGAAUAGAAUUAGAAUAGUGAGUGUUAAAGUUAGAGGGUCAAAUAAAGAUGGAAGAGAUGGGUUUUUGAAUUUUUGAAGAUGGCUAAGGACUCAGCUGCUCGGAUUGAGUUGAGGAGGGAACAUUUAAUUUUAAAAGUCUGUAAAAGUGACUUUGUGCUUCUUUGGGAUGGCACAAUCAAGCGACUUUUACUUGCAGAAUGCAAGCUUCUAGAGGGCACAUAAGUCCGAAGUAACAAAUUUUGGCAAAUGGGUGCAGAGUCAGUGGAAGUUUUGUAGGCAAACAUCAAUGCACUGAAUUUUAUGCGAGCAGCUAUUGGAAGCCAGUGCAAAUUGAUAAACAGAGGUGUGACGUGUAUUAUUUUUGACUCAUUGAAAAUUAAUCUUGCUGCCGCGUUCUGGAUUAAUUGUAAGAAUUGAUUUUAUCUAUAUUGUAAUAUCAGUAAGAUAGUAAGAUACUGUACAGAUCAAUAAUGCCAAGAUAUGAAAUUUAUUAACAAGAAACUUGGUACGAUUAACCUGAUUGCCAGACCCCCCAUUAUGGGACUCACAGAUGAAAGUGCUCUACCAAACUUAUAAUUGUAAUAGUUUCCUACUUCAGUGUGUUAUAAUUGUGGUAUCUUUGGGCUUUACUUUUUAUCAAACAGAUUUGAUAAUGCUCAAAAAUAUGAAAAGUUAUAGACACUGAAGUGCCUUGAAUUUUUUUACCACUCUUAUUUUAUUUUAUUUAUUUUUUUUUUUAUAUAAAAAUACAUGAAAUGAGUCCUGGAGCAAUCUAGAAAAGUAAUGGGUUGAAAGCCACAUGUCUCAUGAGUUUCUAUUUCAAAUCUGAAUAAAAUAUCAUGAAACAUUAGACUCCUGCAAAUAUUUUUAUGAGACUAUGUCUACACCCCCCACCCCCCAAAUAUAAGAAAAUAUAUUUCCCAAUAGUAUUGAAGGCUUCUACAAACUAUUUAGUCAGUAUUAUCAAUUAUAAAACACUAGACAGAAACUUAGACAUCAUAUAAGUGAUUUAUUUGAGCCCUAGAAAAAUACAAUAAGAAUAAUUUGAAUAAGAAAAAUAAGAAUAAUAAGAAGGGUUGGGGUACUCGAACUUGGAAUCGGACUCGAGUCCGGACUCGAGUCCAAUUUUGAAUGAACUCGGACUUGUCACGCACUCGGGUGAAUUUGUACUCGGACUUGACAUGGAACUGAACAUUUUGGAAAAUAUUCAGAGUACAGUCAGCCUAGAUUUGAUUCAAUAAACCGGUAAAAAAAAAAACUAAAAUAAAAAAAAACGGUCCACCAGUUCUUUUACGCUCGAAGUAAUGACGUCAUUGGUGAUGACGUAAUGGCGUCAUGUCUAUCAAACAUUCAAAUAUAUAAAGUCAGUAAUCAUAACUUGUCACGGUUGGUAAACCGUGAUCUCGGGAUGUUUACACUUUGUGGUGAAUUCUGUGUGUUCCGCGUCUGCACUGAUUAGUUGUGGGCGUCUCCGUUAAUUGUAUCAGCAACAGCGGCCACUCAUUUCUCAUCCACUAUAUAAUGGCUUGUCUCACGUCUUGUGUUUGUGAGAUCGUUGUUCUAUGUUCGAUGUGUUUACCCUCCAUCUGUCUUCGGUGUUGUUUUGCAUUUGGAUGUCUGUGUUUCCCCAGAACCUCAUCCACUCUUCACACGUUCACUCAGUCACGGACACUUACCUUCGGCUCUAUUCCCCGCAGUUCCUGUGCCACUCUCUCCUGCUGCCUCAUGCCGUCUGCAUCCGGAUUACUCACCUUCUCUCCACCAUCAUCUGGACUUCUCACCGCUUCACCAUCCCCUCGGAACUGUCCUUUCACCAGCUGUCACAGAACGAUCUCACCAACAUGGAAGCAGCGAGCACCAAUACCCUCACCGACUUCAUGCACCACAGUGUCAAAAGAAUGGAUCAGCAGCAGGAGAGUAUCUUGAACACUGGACGCGCUGUCCAAGCGCUGGUGGCACAGGUGUCCGAGCUCACCCAGCAGAUCCAUCAGCUCACGUCUCCCACUGCGCCCAUCGCACCGCCUGCGCCGUCCGUUACCCCGGGGAUUCCCCAGGACCACUUCCGGCCAGAGCCGCGACUUCCGGCGCCGGAGAACUAUGCGGGUGAGCAAACCAUUUGUAGAACAUUUCUUAACAAAUGCUCGAUGCAUUUCGCUCUACAGCCCCGCACUUUCGCUACGGAGGAAUCCAAAGUAGCGUUCACGCUCACACUUCUCUCUGGCAAGGCUGCCUUAUGGGGAACGGCGGUGUGGGAAAAUCAACACCCGUGUUGUGCCUCGUUCCACCUCCUAUCGGACGAAAUGAAGAGAGUCUUCGACUGGGCCGCGACCGGCAGGGAGGCCACCCAUCGCCUCUCGGAACUCCAGUAAGGAUCUUCAUCUGUAACCGAAUACUCCAUCGAGUUCUGUACCCUGGCGGCAGCGUGCCAGUGUAACGAGGCGGUGCAGUGGGAUAGAUUCCUGCAUGGGUUAUCCGACUGUGUUCAGCAGGAGAUCUACCUCCUCGAUCUUCCCCCUACUCUCAACGAACUCAUUGACCUGCCGUUGCAGGUGGAGGCCAGGUUUAAUCGUCUGGGCCGCCAACAUAGUCCUUCCAGGCCUCCCUUCUCUCCUGGUAGGGGGCGCUUGAGUCAAGAGAACACGGUCGGUUCUGUCGACGAUCACGAGCCCAUGCAGGUGGGUAGAGCUCGGCUGUCCCGGAGGGAGAGGGAACGGCGGAGAUCCCAAGGACUAUGUCUAUACUGCGGAGGCUCUGACCAUAACACCUACUCUUGCCCGAUAAAAGAGUCAGCCCGAUAGUAAAUCUGAGGCUACUAUCGGGUGGGAUCUCCACUGAGAAGUCCUCACCAACAUCAUCGACCCUCCUUCCGGUGAGACUGCGGUGGAAGAAUCAACAUCAUAAAUGUCAAGCCCUUCUGGACUCCGAGCCGAAGGUAAUUUCAUUGAUUCUUCACUUGCACAUCACCUGAACAUUCCUGUCCUUCCUGUGUCUCUCCCCAUCCAUGUCACCGCACUCAAUGGCCAGGAACUGACUCACGUCACACACCAUACAGAACCCAUCACACUGAUCACAUCUGGAAACCAUCAAGAAACCAUAUCAUUUUUCUUCAUGGACUCCCCUGUUGCUCCCAUUGUUUUAGGUCACCCCUGGUUGUUCAAACAUAAUCCACGAGUGGAAUGGGGUUCUAACACUGUCACAUUGUGGAGUGAAAGUUGUCAUGAGUCUUGUCUGGUUUCUGCUUGUCCUGUUGUUCCUGUUUCUGUUUUUCAGAAGGAAGACCAUGGUUUUGCCAAACGUGCCCGUUGAGUAUCUGGACCUGAAGGAAGUGUUCAGUAAGUCCCGGGCUGCUUCUCGUCCCUACGACUGUGCCAUAGACUUAGUGUCAGGUAAUUCUCCGCCUAAAGGCAAGUUAUACUCUCUUUCUAUUCCUGAGAGGGAGGCCAUGGAGAUAUACAUUUCUUAUUCCUUAGCCUCUGGGUUCAUCCGUCCUUCCUCUUCUCCAGCGGGGGCGGGGUUCUUUUUUGUGGGUAAGAAGGAUGGCUCGCUGCGACCUUGUAUUGAUUACCGAGAGUUGAAUAACAUUACGAUUAAGAACACUUAUCCUUUACCACUCAUGUCUUCAGCUUUUGAGAGGUUGCAGGGAGCAUCUGUAUUCACAAAAUUGCAUUUAUGUAAUGCUUAUCAUUUGGUCCGCAUCAGGAAGGGGGAUGAAUGGAAAACUGCCUUUAACACCCCUAGAGGGCACUUUGAAUAUUUGGUGAUGCCGUUCGGGCUCUCCAACUCGCCCGGGGUUUUCCAAGCACUCGUGAAUGACGUGUUGAGAGAUAUGGUAGAUCAGUUUAUAUAUGUUUACCUGGAUGACAUACUGAUUUUUUCUUAAUCUCUCCAGGAACAUGUUCAACACGUCAGACGAGUGCUCCAGAGGUUACUAGAGAAUGGGCAUUUUGUCAAGGCGGAGAAGUGCGUAUUCCAUGCACAGUCGGUCCCCUUCCUAGGGUAUAUCGUUUCGUCUGAGGGAAUACGAAUGGACCCUGACAAAGUUAAGGCUGUGAUAGAUUGGCCAUCUCCAGAUUCCCGUAAGGCCCUACAGCAGUUUCUGGGGUUCGCCAAUUUCUAUCGUCGUUUCAUUCGUAAUUUCAGCCAACUAGCCUCACCUCUAACAGCCUUGACCUCUCCCAGUACUCCGUUCAGGUGGUCUUACGCAGCUGAGGCUGCGUUCACUAACCUCAAGAACCCUUCGUUUUGGCUCCCAUCCUUGUGGCCCCUGAUCGCACACGGCAGUUCGUGGUGGAGGUCGACGCAUCAGAGGUGGGGGUAGGAGCAGUGUUGUCCCAACGUGCUGCUUCAGACGAUAAAGUACACCCUUGCGCGUUUUUUUCACAUCGAUUAUCUCCUGCCGAACGUAAUUAUGACAUUGGCAAGGAGUGGCGCCACUGGUUAGAGGGUUCAGGGGUUCCCUUUAUUGUUUGGACCGAUCACAAGAAUUUAGAAUACAUCAGAACUGCCAAAAGACUCAAUUCAAAAGUUUUGGCUUGUUCAGUUUGCGCCAGUGGUAAGUCAUCUAACCGACCUCCUGAUGGGCUUCUUCAACCGCUGUCUGUCCCUUCGAGACCCUGGUCCCAUAUCGCUCUAGAUUUUGUUACCGCCCUCCCACCCUCUAAUGGCAUGACGGUCGUUUUGACCGUAGUGGACCGGUUCUCGAAGGCGGCACAUUUCCUUUCCUUGCCCAAAUUACCGACAGCCAAGGAGACAGCGGUUACUGUUUUAGAUCACGUCUUUCGGCUUCAUGGCCUCCCGGUAGACGUGGUUUCAGACAGGGGAUCUCAGUUUAUAUCCAAAUUUUGGAAAGAGUUUUGCAAAUUAUUAGGAGCGUCAGUUAGCUUGUCGUCGGGUUAUCAUCCCCAAAGCAACGGACAAUCUGAGCGAGCCAACCAAGAUUUAGAGAGGACGUUGAGAUGUUUGGUCUCCAAGAAUCCAUCUUCCUGGAGUCAACAACUCUCUAUGGUGGAGUACGACCACAAUUCGUUGCCAGUGUCAGCUACGGGCCUCUCUCCGUUUCAGUAUAGUGUAGGGUACCAGCCACCAGUGUUUCCCAGUCUGGAAUCUGAAGUCACGUCCCCUCCGCUCAUGCGUUUGUCCAGAGGUGUCACCGCACCUGGACCAGAGCCCGUAAGACUCUGCUCCGGGUGAGGGAGCGCACUAAGGCCAAAGCCGAUCGCCACCGGUCAAAGCCUCCCGUCUACGUCAUGGGUCAAAAAGUGUGGCUUUCUACCAGUAACAUUCCCUUGCGAUCCGUUUCUAAUAAAUUAGCUCCUAAAUUUAUCGGCCCGUUCACUAUCACCAAGAUCAUUAGUCCGGUGACAGUCCGCCUCAAACUACCUCCUGCGUACAAGAGGAUACACCCCGCCUUUCAUGUGUCCAAAAUUAAACCCGUGUUUUAUGCACGUAUUAAUCCGCCUACUCCGGUUCCCCCGCCGCCGCGUCUCGUAGAUGGGGAACCGACAUAUUCGGUUAAUCGUAUUCUGGACUCGAGACGGAGGGGACGAGGAUUCCAGUAUCUGGUGGACUGGGAAGGUUACGGUCUGGAGGAGAGGAGUUGGGUACCUGCUAGGGACAUAUUGGAUCACUCCCUUAUUGAUGAAUACAAUCAGCAGGUAGGCCCUUCUGGGAAUUCCAGGAGGAGUUCUUGGGGGGGGGGG